AGCGGGUUACCCCGGCAGCUGAAACCCUAUCUAUAUUGCGUCUGCUUUGAAUUUCUGCCUUAAGUAGUGCAAUAUCGCUUAUAGGGUUUUGGCCCCGGGUUCGAGCAUCAAGAGCC
rnacentral:pre_miRNA from 13 species